CCUACGGGGUGCAGCAGUGAGGAAUAUUGGUCAAUGGACGAGAGUCUGAACCAGCCAAGUAGCGUGAAGGAUGACUGCCCUAUGGGUUGUAAACUUCUUUUAUAUGGGAAUAAAAUGUUCCACGUGUGGGAUUUUGUAUGUACCAUAUGAAUAAGGAUCGGCUAACUCCGUGCCAGCAGCCGCGGUAAUACGGAGGAUCCGAGCGUUAUCCGGAUUUAUUGGGUUUAAAGGGAGCGUAGGGGGAUUGUUAAGUCAGUUGUGAAAGUUUGCGGAUCAACCGUAAAAUUGCAGUUGAAACUGGCAGUCUUGAGUGCAGUAGAGGUGGGCGGAAUGCGUGGUGUAGCGGUGAAAUGCUUAGAGAUCACGAAGAACUCCGAUUGCGAAGGCAGUUCACUGGACUGCAACUGACACUGAGGCUCGAAAGUGUGGGUAUCAAACAGGAUUAGAUACCCGUGUAGUC
rnacentral:rRNA from 1 species